CCAGAGAAUCAAUUGCAGAUGGCGCUGC
rnacentral:sRNA from 1 species